rnacentral:rRNA from 1 species
CACGGGGGGAGCAAGCGUUGUUCGGAAUCACUGGGCGUAAAGGGCGUGCAGGCGGUCAGGUAAGUGGGAUGUGAAAUGCCCCGGCUCACCCGGGGACCGGCAUCUCAUACUGCUUGGCUUGAGUACGGGAGAGGAUGUGGGAAUUCCUGGUGUAGCGGUGAAAUGCGUAGAUAUCAGGAGGAACACCAGUGGCGAAGGCGGCUUCCUGGACUAAUACUGACGCUGAGGUGCGAAAGCGUGGGGAGCAAACAGG